UUUGUAAUUCUCAGUUCGGGUA
rnacentral:siRNA from 1 species